rnacentral:rRNA from 1 species
CCUACGGGUGGCAGCAGUGGGGAAUAUUGCGCAAUGGGCGAAAGCCUGACGCAGCGACGCCGCGUGAGGGAUGAAGGUCUUCGGAUCGUAAACCUCUGUCAGCAGGGAAGAACGGUCACUGUGCUAAUCAGCAGUGAAUUGACGGUACCUGCAAAGGACGCACCGGCUAACUCCGUGCCAGCAGCCGCGGUAAUACGGAGGGUGCGAGCGUUAAUCGGAAUUACUGGGCGUAAAGCGCUCGUAGGCGGUAUGUCAAGUCAAGGGUGAAAUCCCCGGGCUCAACGUGGGAACUGCCUUUGAAACUGGCAGACUGGAGUGUGUGAGAGGAUAGUGGAAUUCCAGGUGUAGGAGUGAAAUCCGUAGAUAUCUGGAGGAACAUCAGUGGCGAAGGCGACUAUCUGGCACAUAACUGACGCUGAGGAGCGAAAGCGUGGGUAGCAAACAGGAUUAGAUACCCUAGUAGUC